CAGCCUGCAGAAGCCAAGUGCAGGGUCUGCACUUAGGAAUGUGCUCAGGAUAUUCGAAGGAGUCCACAGAUGUUAACAGUCUUCCACCUGCCCUGGCCCAUCCUCACUCAUGAAACUUCUCUUUCCAGACGACUAGGAUGAAAAGACCAAGCCCGGGGAAGUCACAAUUUACAGAAUGUGUCCUACCCGCUAUCCACGUCGAGGUGUAUAAUUACUCAUAGGAACUGGCUGGACAGAAUAAGCACAGACCUAUAGCCUAAGAAGUACCGAAAAAGGGGUCUUUACGGAAUGCCAAGGAGCAGACAGGAAGCGAGGAUUUUACUGGAGUCUGCUGCUUGGCAAACAUGGGCUCGCCCAUAUGUGAGAGGAGCGGCUGGACUACUGGAAAGGAGGCUGCUGUGUAAACUCUGAAAGACACCAACCAACCAGUCCCGAGAAAUACACCUGCACUCCAGCCAUCGGAUCCAUGAAGCCAAGCAACCAUCAGAAAGGGGAAAAUAACAUUUUCUAUAGAAACCUCAUCUGAGAGAGUGGAGCCAGAGUUCAGUUAUAUCUGAUUUUCAUUUCUUUACAGGGUUAAAAGGAAAUAAAUGACUACUGUGGUGAAUAUACCUGCCUUUAUGGAAAUGAGGACACCUACCACAAUUAUACCACCAGCUACAGCUACAACAUGGCCCUCUUCAGAGAGAGACGGUAACACAGAUCUGCUCAGCAAGAACAAGAUGGCCUAAUAGAAUGAAAUCCUUCCCAAGGUCCAAGAUCCAACUCUAGCCCCUUUCCCCUGAGGCCAUUCCUGAUGCUCCCACAUGG